AAAGAGGAAAUAAAGAAAAGAGGACAGAUAAUUGAGUGACCUUUUUUUCCGCUUUCAGAUACCUGGCCAAUGAGAUGAAGUUGUACCACUUCCAUCAGUCCAGACAUUUGUCAAAGAAGUGCAGUUUAUAAAUGACCAAGUGGAUGAAGCAGCCACACUCUCACUGGUCCAGAUAUUCCUCAAAGAAGAGGAAGGUCUUGAUGAAUCGCCGGAGGACUUUUGAAGUUGGCAGUCACCCAUUGCUAAUAAAUCUGAGUUUCUGAAGUGAAAGUCCAAAGAAGGGAAGACAGCAAGAAGUAGCUAUUUGUGUUUUUCAUGGUUUAUAGGCCUACUGGGGAAACUUGCCAUGUAAAAAAAUUGAAAUCAAACAGUGGAAACUUCAGGCUGGAAUAACAAUAAUAUGAGGAAAAGGUAGAUAGCUGCUCACCAUAAAGAAGACAUGUUGAGUUGUCAACAGGCAUAACAAAAGGACGUGAAGCAUUACCUUUCUGCCAAAGCGUUAUUCAGAAAAUUAAACACACAUACACAGUCAUUCAUUCACUGUGACUGUGUGUGUGUGUGUGUGUGUGUGUGUGUGUGUGUGUGUGUGUGUGUGUGUG